CAAUAGCGUAUAUUAAAGUUGUUGCAGUUAAAAAGCUCGUAGUUGGAUUUCGGGGUGGCCUGCCUGGUCCACCGCAAGGUGAGUACUGGUCAGCCGCCCUUCCUCUCGAAAGCCCCGACUGCUCUUCAUUGCAGUGGUCGGGUAGUUCGGGACGUUUACUUUGAAAAAAUUAGAGUGUUCAAGGCAGGCCGUCGCCUGAAUACAUUAGCAUGGAAUAAUGGAAGAGGACCUCGGUCCUAUUUUGUUGGUUUCUAGGGCCGAAGUAAUGAUUAAGAGGGACAGUUGGGGCAUUCGUAUUUAAUUGUCAGAGGUGAAAUUCUUGGAUUUAUGAAAGACGAACUAGUGCGAAAGCAUUUGCCAAGGAUGUUUUCAUUAA
rnacentral:rRNA from 1 species